rnacentral:rRNA from 1 species
UACGGAGGAUCCAAGCGUUAUCCGGAUUUAUUGGGUUUAAAGGGUGCGUAGGUGGCCUGGUAAGUCAGGGGUGAAAGACGGUAGCUUAACUAUCGCAGUGCCUUUGAUACUGCCGGGCUUGAAUAAACUAGAGGUAGGCGGAAUGUGACAAGUAGCGGUGAAAUGCAUAGAUAUGUCACAGAACACCGAUUGCGAAGGCAGCUUAAUAUGGUUUUAUUGACACUGAGGCACGAAAGCGUGGGGAUCAAACAGG